rnacentral:rRNA from 1 species
UACGAAGGGGGCUAGCGUUGCUCGGAAUCACUGGGCGUAAAGGGUGCGUAGGCGGGUCUUUAAGUCAGGGGUGAAAUCCUGGAGCUCAACUCCAGAACUGCCUUUGAUACUGGAAGUCUUGAGUCCGGGAGAGGUGAGUGGAACUGCGAGUGUAGAGGUGAAAUUCGUAGAUAUUCGCAAGAACACCAGUGGCGAAGGCGGCUCACUGGCCCGGAACUGACGCUGAGACGCGAAAGCGUGGGGAGCAAACAGG